rnacentral:rRNA from 1 species
UACGUAGGGUGCAGGCGUUAAUCGGAAUUACUGGGCGUAAAGCGUGCGCAGGCGGUUUGCUAAGACAGGUGUGAAAUCCCCGGGCUUAACCUGGGAACUGCGCUUGUAACUGGCAAGCUAGAGUGUGGCAGAGGGGGGUGGAAUUCCAAGUGUAGCAGUGAAAUGCGUAGAUAUUUGGAGGAACACCGAUGGCGAAGGCAGUCCCCUGGGCCUGUACUGACGCUCAUGCACGAAAGCGUGGGGAGCAAACAGG